UACAUGGGGUGCAAACGUUGCUCGGAAUUAUUGGGCGUAAAGCGCGCGUAGGCGGUUACUUAAGUCGGAUGUGAAAGCCCUCGGCUUAACUGAGGAAGUGCACCCGAAACUGAGUAGCUGGAGUACGAAAGAGGGUCGCGGAAUUCCCGGUGUAGAGGUGAAAUUCGUAGAUAUCGGGAGGGACACCGGUGGCGAAGGCGGCGACCUGGGUCGAGACUGACGCUGAGGCGCGAAAGCGUGGGGAGCAAACAGG
rnacentral:rRNA from 1 species